rnacentral:rRNA from 1 species
UACAGAGGUCCCAAGCGUUGUUCGGAUUCACUGGGCGUAAAGGGUGCGUAGGUGGCCAGGUAAGUUCGGUGUGAAAGCUCGGAGCUUAACUCCGAAAUGGCAUUGAAUACUAUCUGGCUAGAGGGUCGGAGGGGAGACUGGAAUUCUCGGUGUAGCAGUGAAAUGCGUAGAUAUCGAGAGGAACACCAGUGGCGAAGGCGAGUCUCUGGACGACUCCUGACACUGAGGCACGAAAGCCAAGGG